rnacentral:lncRNA from 1 species
GCCUGCUGUAAGCAGCAGCAGGCCUGUGCUUCUUACUGCCUGUGUAGCCAGAAAACACUGGUCUCAGAGCUCUGAGGGUGCUGGAGCCGAAAGCACUUGACAUUGAUGCUUUAGGACAGAUGCUGAAUCUGACACAUAUGCAUAUUCAUCAUCUUCACCGUGCAUUCAUUGAAAACCUAUCAUGUGUGUCAUCCCUGCAGGUGCAAAGAAGCUUAACAUACAAUGUCCGCCCACCCAUCAUCUACCCUUCGAGGGCAAGCAGUGUGGAAAGUCAAAAGUGUUAAGAAGAACUGAAGAGGAAAAAAACCUGAAUUUACUCAAGAUCUUUCUGACAUUUCUUGCCAAAAUAUUAACCAGUAAAUGUUGGAAUCCUUUUUUCCACAUAAAAUAUCUUUAUAAAGGUCUAAAACUGUAAGAAAUAGGUGACUUUUAAACAAACAUUGGCUAAAGGUGCCUUUAAUCGUUUUGGGUGGGGAAUAUUUUGAAAUCAAGUAUUUUAUGUUAUGUGAAUUAAUGUCAAGGAAAGAAAUAUUACCUAAAGAUUUUUCCUUGCUAUCUUUUCCAAAGGGUCAUUUUAGAGAAUGGUGUAUCUGAAUAAACUUUUAAUUUAUUUGUGUCUUUUUCUCCAUAAAAUAUGCUCAGCAAAAGAAAGGACGUCUAAAUUGGGGUUUGCUUGGAAUUGUAUGG